GGUAGUCCACGCCCUAAACGAUGAGCAUUAGAUAUUAGGCAUAUGCCUAGUGUCGCAGCUAACGCUUUAAAUGCUCCGCCUGGGUACUACGGUCGCAAGGCUAAAACUCAAAGGAAUUGACGGGGACCCGCACAAGCGGUGGAGCAUGUGGUUUAAUUCGAUACGACGCGCAGAACCUUACCAAGGUUUGACAUGGAGGGCAAUGUUGAAGAAACUCAACGGAGGUUAUCCCGACACAGGUUGGUGCAUGGUCGUCGUCAGUUCGUGCUGUGAAGCGUACGCUUAAG
rnacentral:rRNA from 1 species